CGCUGGCGGCGCGUUUAAGCAUGCAAGUCGAGCGGCAAGGGCCUUCGGGCCCCUAGAGCGGCGACGGGUGAGUAACACGUGGACAAUCUGCCCCCCGGCCCGGGAUAGCCCAGGGAAACCUGGAUUAAUACCGGAUGAGACGGGACCCGCGAUGGCGGGAUCCGGGAAAGGCGCUGCGGCGCCGCCGGGGGAUGAGUCUGCGUCCCAUUAGCUAGACGGCGGGGUAACGGCCCACCGUGGCGACGAUGGGUAGCCGGCCUGAGAGGGUGGACGGCCACAUUGGAACUGAGACACGGUCCAGACUCCUACGGGAGGCAGCAGCUAAGAAUCUUCCGCAAUGGGCGAAAGCCUGACGGAGCCGACGCCGCGUGAACGAAGAAGGCCGUGAGGUUGUAAAGUUCUUUUCGGGAGGGGGAACAACCGUGGCAGGGAAUGGCCGCGGGAUGACGUGAAUCCCGGAAUAAGCCCCGGCUAACUACGUGCCAGCCGCCGC
rnacentral:rRNA from 1 species